GGGAUUGUAGUUCAAUUGGUUAGAGCACCACUCUAUCAAGGCGGAAGCUAUGGAUUCGAGCCCCGUCAGUCUCG
rnacentral:tRNA from 1 species